rnacentral:lncRNA from 1 species
GAGCAAGUCAAGGAGUCCCAGGUCUCUGAGGCUCUCGAGGUUGCCUCAAUCACUUCACCAGUCGAGGUCAGGGCUCUCUUUAGAAUAAAUCCUACCGGACACCUCCUAAUCUCAAAUAUCAGGUUAUCCCUGGAUGAUUAAAUCUGCUCGGCAAUAUAAGAUGCUUGGAUGCCAAUUGGCCUCCAUGCCCUCGUGUCGGCACUCUGCUUCAGCAGCUCUAUGAACUCCUGGGCUGAAGUCCCCUCCCGAAAAGAGAAGUUAUACCGACUUGUCAAGUAUCACAUAGAUGCUGCACCUGGGCACAGAAAAAGAACAUGCUCGGUGAUUUCUUCCUCCCUAUUAUAGACUGAAUAUCCAUACCUCUCACCUUCAGGAUAGAUC